rnacentral:misc_RNA from 1 species
UGCCCUUUCUAACUCAGUCAAGAAUC